rnacentral:ribozyme from 1 species
GCGUUGGGAUUGUCAGCAAUGACGAGGAAAGUCCGAAAGAAGACAAUAUGGAUGAUGGCAUUCCCAAAAGUACUGUCACUUUCGUUGUCCGGGACAAGGAAGAAGCCGACGAAGGAG